rnacentral:rRNA from 1 species
GAGUCAACGUAGCAAUACGUGGCACACGGCUCAGUAACACGUAGUCAACAUAACCAAAGGACGUGGAUAAACUCGGGAAACUGAGGCUAAACCGCGAUAGAUCAAGAUACCUGGAAUGGUUUUUGAUCAAAAUCUAUAUGGCCUUUGGAUUGGACUGCGUCCGAUCAGGCUGUUGGUGAGGUAAUGGCCCACCAAACCUGUAACCGGUACGGGCUCUGAGAGGAGGAGCCCGGAGAUGGGUACUGAGAAAAGGACCCAGGCCCUAUGGGGCGCAGCAGGCGCGAAACCUCUGCAAUAGGCGAAAGCCUGACAGGGUUAUUCUGAGUGACUUUCGCUAAGAAAGUCUUUUGACACCUCUAAAAAUGGUGUAGAAUAAGGGGUGGGCAAGUCUGGUGUCAGCCGCCGCGGUAAUACCAGCACCCCGAGUGGUCGGGACGAUUAUUGGGCCUAAAGCAUCCGUAGCCGGUUUUACAAGUCCUCCGUUAAAUCCAGCUGCUUAACAGAUGGGCUGCGGAGGAUACUAUAAGACUAGGAGGCAGGAGAGGCAAGCGGUACUCAGUGGGUAGGGGUAAAAUCCGUUGAUCCAUUGAAGACCACCAGUGGCGAAGGCGGCUUGCCAGAAUGCGCUCGACGGUGAGGGAUGAAAGCUGGGGGAGCAAACCGGAUUAGAUACCCGGGUAGUCCCAGCUGUAAACGAUGCAGACUCGGUGAUGGACUAGCUUUAUGCUAGUCCAGUGCCGCAGGGAAGCCGUUAAGUCUGCCGCCUGGGUAGUACGGUCGCAAGACUGAA